GCAGCGGCGGGCGAGGGACGCGGGAGGGGAGGGCAGCGCGCGGAGCGCCAAUGAGUUCACUUUCUUUUUCUCCCCCGCGCUCUCCCCCUCUCCCUUCCCGCCAGCCCCUCCAGCCUCCUCGUUGGCCGCCGGCUGCCGUGGCCGGGCCAGAGUUUUGGGUUCUCGGCCCGGGAGCGGGAGGAUGGAGACGGCGAGGGAGGAGGUGGAGGGAAAAGCGAGGAGGCGAGCAGGGCGCCCCGCCAGCGAGCAGCAUCCAGGACCUUCAGUGUGUGGCGGGGGACGCGCCGGCCGAGUGUGCCCGAGCCGGGCGCGUACACGUGUCCGUGUGUGUGAGUGUGGGAGCCGGGCGAGCGGAGGAGCCUACCAUGCGCUUCCCCCUCCGCGCGGAUCGCGGGAGAGCCCAAUCCCGGGGCGAGCUGGACCGGCCGCGACCAUUUAUAAUCCUUGCCUCCUCCACUUCGCAACUUGUCAAGAUGACGGGGGUCACCCGUGAAUAACACUUCGCGCUGAUGAAUGGCUCUCACCGCCUUUCGGCUCUGAUGAGGGGUCUGCCCGCAGCUGAUUGCAAACACUAAUGAACUUGCGGCGCCAUUUGAAAUUCACACGCGCCGACACCGUGCGCGGGGUGGGCAUUUCAGGUCAGCUGAGUCACCCGAGGAGGUGGCGGAGCAAGGCGCUGCCGGGAAGAUGGAUUCCGAGGCGGGAGGGUGUAAUUAAGGACUUCCACCCCCGGCAGGCGGGCUGUCCUUUACGCAGCCUGUGAAAGUGACCUGCGCCUUCGCUUCCACAGUGUCCUCUCCUCAGAGACUGAAAAGCUCCAAUGACCUUCGGACGGGGGAGGGGACUCUAAAUACCCAGCCUUCCUUAACAAGCCCCAACUCGGCCAGGCCGUCGACCGUGUGUCUGCCCUCCGGUUGGAGCUGCAACCCGCACGCACCUGCCAGUGGGCGAAUUCUGGAGCCCACUCCAACCCAACCUCCCCUCCUCUUCCUCCAUCUCUCCAUCCCUCCCCCCUCCCUCUUUCUCAUUAGCAGCUGAAUGCCACCCUAACUCUAACCUUCCCUACCUUGACUUCUGUGGGGAAGGAAAUAAAAGUUUACUGCUC